AUAAACAUCUCCUGCCUGUCAUUGAUUCAUCAUUCAGAUAGAUUACACACAAGACACGUAAAAAAUGAUGGUCUGCACCACAGGUUUUUAUUUCUAUUAAAUUCUACAGCAUAUGAUCUUGAACAAACAUUUGUAGUCAAUAUUUGAUAAAAAGUCCGAUUCAAUCAAGUAAAUAAAGCAUUAGAAAAAAUAAUUUCAUUCCUUUGCUAAACUAAAUCCAUUAAGACUCUAACACAAGUAGAACGGAGGACAAAGAAUAUUUAAAACAAAACAAAACAAAACAGUGAGACCCAUUGCACAUUUGCAUUUUGAAAUUAAUUGCUGCCCUAAUUAUUUGUCAGUAGAAGCAUAAAUUAAGCAAAUAUAACUUACAGUAAGCUUUUAGACACCCACAGGAUUCUCCCCUCAAGAGUAAAUUGUCAUAAUGGUUCAGUAUGAUGGUUUAUUUUUGCUAUCUUUCCAUGAUUGAGGAAAGAGAGAAGAUUGGAAAUGGAGCUGUGGGGAAAUGAAACAGGGACUCCAGACGAAGACGUCGACACAGGUGGAAAUGGAGGCUCUCAGGGGAGAGUGUGAAUGUGCAAUGCCUUACAACCUGGGCUCCAAAUAGGCAUCGGGUCAUGUCUGCCCGUCUUUCAUUGGCCAAAGGAAGUCCCAUUGUCAAGCUCAACACCGGUGGGCAUCACCUCUCCCCUGUCACCAACUGGCAACCCACAGCAAAGGAUGUUUUUCUGAUCAUUUUGCACUCAUUAAAUGCAGCUGUCACAACAGUGGAUGCGAGGAUGCUUGCAAAACUUUUCUGCCACGUCAAAAUAAAGCUGAAGAGCUUUUUAAAGAAGAGCUGAAACCUUUGAAGCCUGUUCUCAAGGAAUAUUGGAAAUAUUGCCUUUUGUCGUUGACAAUUGAAAGUGUUCCAUCGCAACACAAAUUAAAUGUUGGCCCAGGCUAAGGAAGCAUCGUCCAUCAAAAUUUCGUAGCAGAAUGCAUUUGGCCGACCAUUGGGGUUCCGUUCCUGGGUCUGAAUGACCUAGAGGUGCCAUACUCAUUGGAGUGGCUGAUCCCUGCUAAUGGUUUUAAUGGGGUGGAGUAGUUCCCUGAUCCUUGAAGAACUGUUACAAGAUUGAAAUAAUCAGAUGCCUCCUACAUACCCUAUUAGAGAAGUGAGACAAACAAGUGGAUUCUGGAUCCAUAACACAGACCUGUUGAUUAGACUCUCAGGGUGGAGGUGAGGGCCUUCCUUGGUCUUGGCUCACUCAUCAGAAUCCAUUUCACUGAUCCACAGACUUGCAAAAAGGACUAUACCCUCAGUAUGUGCUUCUUGAUGUAGCAUCUCCUGAGCUUUCCUUUGUUUCCCAAGCACCAGUCUUAUUUAAAAGUUGACUCUGGGUUUUGCUCUUCUAAGAAGCCUCCCAUCUGCCCCCUCCAUUGGGUUAGUAAUGGGGCCAUGGAGUGUGUUCCCUCUAUACCACGGCCCAGCUCUAUUUCAGAGUAGUGACCCCUCUGUCCCUGUGGCAGCACCAUCUGUUCAGGGAUCCCCCACUCAACUGGGAUUUUGAGAGUCAGGACUGGGUUUGUCAUCAUAGGUGCGGCCCAAAUGGGGCAAAACAGGGCUGCUCCCCCCGCAAAUGGUGGAGGGCAGAAAGGAGGAAAGAGGGGAGGAAGGCAGGCAAUGGCAUCAGACAAUUUCAAGGGGUGGCUAGGCGCAUCUUGCCUCCUGAUGUUGCUUGUGCACAUCAGGUAGCAGAGAUACAGAUGUUUUUGCCUCCCCUCCUCCACCUCUGGGUGCACAUUACAGGUCCCUGGGUACAUGGACAGUAAUUAUUGGUUAAGUAAUAGGAGAAGCACUUACCCCCGGGGUGAGUGUGUCUGUCAGAGUCUGGUCAGGAAAAUCUACCUCACAAGAUAUUUCUUAUCUCCGAGUCUCCACCUAAGUUCACCUUUGGACAGAGACUAAAGGGAGCAGGAGAAUGUGUCCCAGCCCCACAGCCAUGAAGCAAGGAGAGAAGAGUGGGGGCUUGGUGAUGGGCGCGGGAGAGCCAAGUGGCCGAGCAGUCUGCAAGAGUCCAGUUCACUCCUCCAUCACAAGAUGGGACACACUUGAGUGACCCGCUGCGGGGUCUGAUGACCGCGUCCGCCUCCCUCGCCUUCUCGUGAUAGGGGGUGAUGGCACAGGAGACUUCAGGGAACAAAAUGUAAGGAAUUGAGAUGCCGUCUUCUGCGUGAUACCACACUGGUGAGGAAAUCCAAAGACCAGAGAGAAAUGACGAGUUGAAAGGAAUGGUGGAUGAGAACCUAGCAUCCUCUGGUGUAUGGGUCACUGUACCAGCGCUGAGCAGAGAUCUGAAGUAAGAACCAGAGGAUGAGGCAGAGGGUAAGCAAGUGUGGAGCCCGGAGAGUGUUUCGCCGGCUUCGGUGAGUCCAUGAGGGAAAAGGAGCCCCUGGUCCACACCACGCUCUACCUCGUCCUGGAGAGUGAAGAACUCACUUCCCGGUUGCUUUUGUCUAUCCGGAAGUAUAUUUUGAUUAGGUUUUCUUACUAAUUUGAAUUUAUGAGAUCUCCUUUAUAAACACUGCUCAGCAAAUCAAGAAGCACCAGUUGUGUGUCUGCCGUGUGCAAGGACCACUGGUUGCAGAGCUAGCUCCUUGCCUUCCUUCUGCGACUCACCUUGAACGUCCCCUCCACAGAAGCCGUCCUCACACGCCCACUUUGAAGUUGCUCUUCUCCAUCAUUUGCUAUCUUAGGCCCUGGUGAUUUUCCCUGCCUGACGCUAAUUAUAAUUUAUAAUUAGUUCGUUUACCUGUUUAGUCAUUUGUUUGCCUCCUCCAGAAGGGCAAGGCCAGCAUCUAUAUCCUGAUGCUAGCACGGUCCCUGGCGUGCCGUAGAAAUGACA